GUCUGCUGUCUACUUUAUUUUGUCUUGAUGGAAGAUUAAUAAACUGACUUAAAAUUAAGAAAUAUUGCCUCUGGAGAAUAGUAUGGGAAGAUGGAACUAUCCUUACUUAGAUGCACCCUUAGCAUCUGGAACAGAGCAGGUGAUGAAUAUCUCUCUGGAUCCCAUUCCUGGCUCUCCAGAGCUAUUCUACUCUGCCAAAGAGACCUCCUCCCUCUGGAAGCUCCCUCCACUCCUGGACUUCUCAGACUGGGCACAUUCCACAACGGUAGCCACUUCCUCAGAUGGAUGCUUCACCUCAGCUCCCAGAACAGCACACCCAUGGAAACUGGGGAAUCAGACCAAUGGCGAAUUUCAAAAUGCCGAAAGGAUUCUUUUCUUUUCAUCGUACACCUAGAAUCUGAAAUUUCUCCCCCAUUGAGAAUAUGGAAACAAGGACUUUUAGGGCUAGAAGAAGCCUGAGAAAGCAUCAAAUCCUACCCCGUCAUUUUAUGCAACUGUCAAACUGAAGCCCAGAGAGGUUAAACCAGAUUCCUAGAUUUACAAAUCAAGAUGGCGGAAGAUGACUGACUGUAACAGAAAGCACCUUAGACAAAGGGUCUGAAAAUCUGAGUUUGAAGCUCUACAUUUCUGCUUAAUAGCCAUGUAGUCUUGAGUAGAUUACUUACUCCAACUCCUAUUCCUUCAUCAAUAAAAUGG
rnacentral:lncRNA from 1 species